rnacentral:lncRNA from 1 species
GCUCUCCUCUCCUGCUAAGCUUUGUUUUCUGGAAGUAAUUAAAACCUUCUGCCACUACCAUAGCUACCGCUGCUGCUGGAACCACCAUAGCCACCUUGGUUUUGUGGUUUGGCAAAGUAUUGGCCUCCACCACCACAGGGGCCAGAGCUUCUGCCUCCAAAACUUCCUCCUUUCAUGGGUCCAAAAGUUGAAGAUUGAUUGUUGCAAUUGCGAAAAUCAUUAUAGCUUCCACCACCUCCAAAGUUGCUUCUAUCAUUACCAAAUCCAUUAUAGCCAUCCCCACUGCCACCAUAUCCACCACCACCUCGACUGCCACCAAAGGCACCUCACCCAUAACGUUGUCAUUCCCACCAAAACCACCUCCACAACCACCACCAAAGUUUCCAGAACUACUCUGACCUCUUUGGCUGGAUGAAGCACUAGCCACCUCUUGCUUAGAUAGAGCUUCCCUUACUUCACAGUUGUGGCCAUUCACAAUAUGGUAUUUUUGAAUGACAAUCUUGUCUACAGGGUCAUGGUCAUCAAACGUUACAAAAGCAAAGCCUCUCUCUUUGCCACUGCUUCAGUCAGUCAUGAUUUCAAUCACUUCAAUUUUCCGAUACUGUUCAAAAUAAUCUCUUAGAUGAUGUUCUUCAGUGUCUUCUUUAAUGCCACCCACAAAAAUCUUUUUCACAGUUAAGUGGGCACCAGGUCUUUGAGAAUCUUCUCUUGAGACAGCCUUCUUUGGUUCUACAACUCUUCCAUCCAUCUUGUGUGGCCUCACAUUCAUGGCUGCAUCCACCUCUUCCACAGUGGCAUAUGUGACAAACCGAAAGCUUCUGGAGCUCUUGGUGUUUGGGCCUCUCCUUACCACACAGUCCAUAAGUGUUCCCAAUGCUCAAAAUGGCUCCUCAGACACUCAUCAGCUGUUUCAAAGCUCAAAGCUCAAACCUCUGAUGAAAAGCUUCUGCAGCUGUUCAGGCUCUUUGGGAGACUGACUUAGAUAUGAUGGUGGUGGGAGGGGAGACUUCAACAAUGCUUACUC